GUCCACGGCUUGCUGUCUUCCCCAUGGCCACUCGCCCCGCGGCUCAUAUAGCAGCCGCUCCCUCCGGUUCUCGCCCGUCGGCCCCGCCUGUUCUUCUUCCAGCGGAAGCGGCACCCCGUCAGGAUUGAAAUCUGCCAGAAACCUAUAUUUGCGUCCAGUAUCAAGGGGAAGCCCUGUUUCAUGUUCAUUAAUGGAUACAUCCAAAAGCAAGCAAGGUCCAGAUCAUCUCCUUGUUCUUGUCCAUGGUAUCAUGGCAAGCCCCAAAGACUGGACAUAUGGGGAAGCAGUACUGAAGAGGCGGCUGGGUGAUAAUUUUUUCAUCUAUGCUAGUUCAUCGAACAUCUACACCAAAAUGUUUGAUGGGAUUGAUAUAGCUGGAAGAAGGUCUUGGAUGUGGUUAAGAAAAUGUCCAGCUUGAGAAAGAUUUCCUUCUUAGCACAUUCAUUGGGUGGUCUGUUUGCUAGAUAUGCUAUUGCAAUACUCUAUUCACUGGAAGCAAAGAAUGAAGGACAAAGUAGUGCACAAAUUGUUCCUGCAGCAAGAGGAUCUGCAAAAUCACGAUUCACUUCAGGAUUAGGUGCAGUUGCUGGACUAGAGCCAAUAAAUUUUAUUACCUUGGCUACCCCACAUCUUGGGGUUAGAGGGAGAAAUCAGGGCUAUCAAUUCUAGAAAAACUUGCUGCCCCUUUGGCUCCUUUAAUUGUUGGGCGCACUGGUGCUCAACUCUUUCUCACUGAUGGUGAUCCUAGCAAGCCACCUCUUCUGUUACAAAUGGCAUCUGACUGUGAAGAAAAAAAGUUCAUGUAAGUGAAUAACAUAAAUUAUUUAGAUGCUAAGUUGCUCUUGUUGAAAAAUAUUUUUUUUCAUUGUCUUACAGACUAGCAUUAGCAGCUUUUAAGAACCGUGUUCUGUAUGCCAAUGUUUCAUAUCACCGUAUCCUUCCUUGCCAAGUCAUUUCUUGAACUUGAACUGUCUUAAAAAAAUCAUUUCUUGAAUUUGAUCUGCAGCAUACUAUCCAAUAAUGCUUAUAUCCCCCAAACUAUUUCUGCCUCUAUUCCUGUUCUAUGUUUUCUUGAGCUUAUGCUUAUCCCAGACAUGGUCGGCUGGCGAACAUCUUCAGUCAGGAGAGAAAAGGAUCUUGUAAAGCCCUCCCAUCGUUCACUGGAUGGUUAUAAGCACAUUGUGAAUGUUGAGUACUGUUCGCCUGUAUCAUCAGAGGGACCCCAUUUUCCUUCCAAGGCUGCCAGAGCUAAAGAAGCUGCACAACGAACUCCAAACACAGAAAACACCGAGGAAUACCACCAAACGAUGGAGGAGGAGAUGACCCAUGGGUUGCAGAAGGUUGGUUGGAAGGUGGACGUCAACUUCCAUUCAUCGUUCUGGCCUUACCUUGCUCACAACAACAUACAUGUCAAGAACAAGUGGCUUCACAACGCUGGUGCUGGUGUUAUCGCACACGUCCCAGACAGCAUCAAGCAGCAGGAGUCACGGCCAUGUCUUCCUGCGAAUCUAUAGCGUUAGCAUUUUAGCACCCCUAUUUGCUGGCAUUUUCUGUGACUAGUAAACCCACGGCCAGCUUCCGGCUGGCAUUUUCUGUGACUAGUAAACCCACGGCUAGCUUCCGAUUCACUGAGCAGCGAGAUAUUUGGUACUGGGAAGAUAGAAUGAGCCAUGUUCUGGUCGCUUCACUGAAUCUUACCAUGGGUAGCAGAUUGUCUGGUGUGAUGAUAUCAGAUGCCAUGUGCUCAUAUGUAUUGCACACGCCAGUUGUGCUGCAGCAGAUCCUCCUGAAACAGUGAUGCAUUCAAAGUUGGAUACGUGAUAACCCAAAAUUUCAUA